rnacentral:lncRNA from 1 species
GAGGGAGUAUGUAGUAGUAGACCAAAAUACAUGAACGUGAAAUAUCCCAGGUGAUGCUAAAUAAAGCAUCAACACUGGUAAUGAAAGUGAAAUCCUCUAUGAAAAUGUAAACUAUAAUGCAUGAAGUAAGGCCAGAUUUCAACUUUAUCAAUCCAGAUAGUGAAGUUUAUUUUUAUGACCUCAACAGUCAACACCCCCUCUUCCAGUAUCCCUGAAACAACCACAUAAAAUUAUUUUUACAUGGAAAAUACAUGAAAACUGGAUCAAAAAGGCAGAGGAGGAAACAAUACAAGACUCGAUAACUCACUUGACCAAGAAUAUUUUCUAGGAAGGAUUUCAUCAUACCACGUAGGACACUGUUUAUUGCUGCCAUCAAGUAAUGCCUACAUAGUAUAUUUUAUUCGCAUCAGCACCAGCCUGUAUAAAUAAAUUAUAAUUUAUUUGAGAAGUACUUGAGAUGCUGACUGCAGAAAAUGUAUGCACCAAGAAAUGAAGCUGCGUCUACAUACUGAAGGAAGCUCCAUAAAUGAAGAAAGAUUAAGAAGUGAUGCUUCAUAAAAAUAGCA